rnacentral:rRNA from 1 species
GAUGAACGCUGGCGGCGUGCCUAAUACAUGCAAGUCGAGCGAACAGACGAGGAGCUUGCUCCUCUGACGUUAGCGGCGGACGGGUGAGUAACACGUGGAUAACCUACCUAUAAGACUGGGAUAACUUCGGGAAACCGGAGCUAAUACCGGAUAAUAUAUUGAACCGCAUGGUUCAAUAGUGAAAGACGGUUUUGCUGUCCCUUAUAGAUGGAUCCGCGCCGCAUUAGCUAGGUGGUAAGGUAACGGCUUACCAAGGCAACGAUGCGUAGCCGACCUGAGAGGGUGAUCGGCCACACUGGAACUGAGACACGGUCCAGACUCCUACGGGAGGCAGCAGUAGGGAAUCUUCCGCAAUGGGCGAAAGCCUGACGGAGCAACGCCGCGUGAGUGAUGAAGGUCUUCGGAUCGUAAAACUCUGUUAUUAGGGAAGAACAAAUGUGUAAGUAACUAUGCACGUCUUGACGGUACCUAAUCAGAAAGCCACGGCUAACUACGUG